rnacentral:lncRNA from 1 species
GUAAGUCUAUAAAACAUGGACCUUUGUGAGCAUGUCUUUCAGCUCGACUAUAGAACCUGUAACUAGCAUAUCCUGUCUGUUUAUGAUCUUUAUGGAACUUUUUGAAUACUGUCUUCUAUCAUUGCAACUUGUCCAUUAGUAGAUGCUUGAAUUUUCUUAGGAGAACUGCCUGUGACAUGAGUUAGCGGCUGCACGAUUGCACAUACACUCUCCUGCACAAGCUUAUAACAUCAAAGCUAGUGAGAUGCAUGUGGCCGUAAUUUGGUGCUAUUAAGUAUACAUUAUUAUUGCUAUAUCAUGGUUUUUCAUGAAUUCCUUUGAUUGUAUAUGGAUUGCAUCAAUUUAUUGUCAGAACUGGAUGUAUAUUAAUCUAUCUGAUUGUAAUGAACAUCAUUUGUAGUUUAUGCCAUUCAGUAUACAUGUAUAGUUGAACUAACCUCGUGAAUUUAAGAGACAUUCCUUGAACCGCACCUGCUUCUAUCUUGGUCUACAGUGUUUUUUAGAUAGUAUUCUUUCAGAAAAACUUGCACAUUCUACUUUGUUGACUCUUUGUUAUUGCAUUCAUGUGAAGUUGUUCAUGAUAUUGUUAUUAUUUGGAAUGUAGCUUCUUGCCAAAUGAAGGGCCCACUUGUCCUUGAGCAUCUGUAUAAGAUCAUAUAUCUUAUAUUUCCAACUAAUUUGUUGCAAUAUGAGCUAGAGCCUGUUUGGGUAGAUUGGAUUUGGAUCCAAUUUUAUUAGUUAGCAGCCUCACCGUAACACCCAUAUCUGAAUUUUUUUUCUGUGUGACUUUACCUUUGCUUCCCUUUAGUGUUCUGCCUGCAUGUAAUCUUCUGUUUCCUAAAUCAUCAUAUUGUAGUGGCUGUGCAGACAGACUCAGUUUCCAUCAACCGUUGUUAUACAUAACCAUAUUAGUUUUAUGCUGAUUUCAGGUCAAGCUCUGCCGCAAUUUGUUUUACUAAUAUAUUUUUUUUGGGUGCAGAUAUGCUGGUGCUGUUUUUGCAGAUGCAUGCUUGAAGGGUCUGAAUGGAGUUCCUGACAUUGUAGAGUGCUCUUUUGUGCAAUCAACUGUGACGGAGUUGCCGUUCUUUGCCUCCAAGGUACUUAUCUAAUGCGUAAAUAUGUAAAGUGCAGUUAUGUUUUAUCAUAUGGUCAAAAUAAAUUUUCUUGGUUCUUUCUUCCUGUUUUCCUUUUUUUUCUUGUUAUAAAGGCUUAUACCGGUUACCAAAAUUUAAAUUACCAUGCUAUAAUUUGAUUUUCACUUAUUUAUUAUAUAAGUCAAUCUGUUUUUUGAAUUUGGAGGCAAGGAUCCAAAUCAUAGGUUUUGUGCACUGAAUUUUGUGUGGUCAGAGGCAUUAAAAGAAUUGGUUUUAUUUUUGUUGUUUUUUAAGCUUAUAAAACUGUCUUAUCGAUGGGUCUUGCAUGUCCUAUCGGAUUAAAGGUACUGUGAACCAUUGCCAUUUUGGUGUUUUUUCUUGAGAAUCAGUGUGAUGUGUUGGCCUUAUGGUUCCAUGUAGCAUGUUCUUGUUUCCAGGAACUGACGAGUGGCAUAUCUCAUUCUUUUACAAUAUCAUGGUUUUCCCUGUCUUGUCAGCUGCAAGAGGGCAUUUCAAUAUUGGCUGAUCAAAAUUAUGUGUUCUUCAGUAAACAUCGCUAAUGCCAGUGCCUUGCUAUACUAGUUAGAUGGACUCUUUCUAGUGUAUUUUUUCACUUGAUUUUGUUGAUUCUCUCAAGAGACAGUCUUCAUAUGCUGCCUAGUGUAGUUUUAACACCAGUCCCUUCCAUGCUACAGGUGCGCCUCGGCAAGAAUGGAGUGGAGGAAGUGCUUGGUCUGGGCGAGCUCUCCGACUUUGAGAAGAAGGGGCUGGAAAGCCUCAAGGGCGAGCUCAAGGCUUCCAUUGAGAAGGGUAUCAAGUUCGCCCACGGGAACUAGGCACUUUGCACAGACUCUUAACAAUUCAUAUAUCAAGCUGAGGAGAUCUCUUGGAAUUUUUUUUUGAUCGCCUUUUCUGCCCCUCUUCUGCUGGGAAGUAGAGGUGUUGUGAUCCACAAUAAAAAUCCAGCGGCUUAGUUGCCAACCUGAAUGAAACCUGAACCGGAAACAACCACACCGGUCACCGGUGCCUUUUGUGCUCGGCCAAUUGCUUGGUGAGCCGUGACGGAAAUGGGAACGGACUUGCCACUUGCUCGAUCCCACUUGUUAUUCUGGUAUUGUAUCGGUACCAGGGCUCCAUGUCAUACUGGAAUUCAAAUUAUUGGGGCUGCUAGAUACCAAUGUGCUGUUGCUCGUGAGACCUUGCACUGUUGAGCCGAGCAUUGCUGGUUCAGGGCAAAUUCCAAGGGUCCAAGCAACGUGCUAUGCUUGCUGGCGGGCGAUGUGUGAUUUUCAGAUUGAUUGGUGAGCCUGGAACGAGCACGUACCAUUAAAAGAGCCUAUGUUUAGAUAUAUAGCAUCAAAAGAAUCAGUUUUAGACAUAUACCAUCAAAAGAUGGCAAUUCUUUGCAGCUUAGCAUUUCUGUGAACUCAAUGCUAACUCUUUAACCAUUAUACCCUUUGGCUGAUAAAAUGAUUCGAGCGGCAGUAUAACAGUAUCCAGCCCCCAUUUCUUUUUUCUUUCUUUCCAUAGCAUUUUGAGAGGAUAUAAGAGGAUCCAUUUCAACACCCUCCCGGAACCUCGUCAGGAUCCAUUUGCCUCAGGAUUUGUGCACGGAGGUGAAGAUGCAAGCAAGCUUCGGAUUUGUGCACGGUGGCUGCUCAGUACUACCAGGUGCGGAGUCCGAGAAGGGGAUAGGGAGUUCGUACUCUUUCCUUUCAAUCUUCGACGCAGCAACGCGGUGCUCAUUCUAUGUUUCUCUAUUGCGGCGGCAAACGAUCAGCAUCAACCUUGUUUUGGGGUGUUUCCCCGGCAGAUGAUCUUUUAUUGGUGCUUUUGCCCUAUCCCGUGCGACGGGCUUCUACUGUGGCUUCUGUAGUUUUUUGUGGCGAUUUGUGUUGAUGCGCGUCUGGGGAAGGUCAUGGAGGCCGUCCUCUUGAGUUUGUUGUUGCAUCAGAGAAGACGAUGGCGAGCUCCACAGCGAGGCGCGUUGCUGGUUGCGAGGAUGACGAUACCGUUGGACAUGGUUGUAUUUUUAUUUUUUGUCAAGGGUGAUGUGGUGUUGAUUACUGUACUCUCAUAUACUGUUGCUAUCUAUAGUUAGCCAAAUAGGCCGCAUGACGCUACACCGCACUAACACAUGUUGGAAACGACACGGUUCGGCACGACACGACUAGGCACUGAGCUUGCCAGCCUAUCAUACCCAGCCCCGCGUGAUAGUAUCGGCCUGAGCCCGACGUCCGGUAGCCUCCAGCGCCGUCACCAUCGGUGAAGGUCAUGGCAGCGAGGGCUCGGGAAGGCACGCGACCGCAGUAUCUUGGAUGGCAAGGGGCGGGGAGACUGCGGUCGCGCGGCGGUAGCGGUGGUGGCUGGGGAUGGCGAGGUGGCGGGGAGGCCGCGAGGUGCGUAAUGGUGGUGGUGGGAAGGGCGAGGGGUGAGGGGUGGCGGAGAGGCAGGAGAGAAGAGAGAAAGAGAAGGGGGUUGUUAGGUGGAGGCAUAAGGUUCAAGAUUUGGAGAAAAUGAUGGAAGUAUUUAUACGAGAAAUAUGUGGGCGGACUGAAUCGUGCCAGCCCAUUUAGUUAUAUGAGAAAUAUAUCGGCGGUAACGGUCUGAAUUGUGCCAACACUACGUAUGCCAGGAUUCCGGCCCAAAGAUAGCAUGGUGAUCGGAUCGUGCCAGCCCGCACACUACGGCUAUCUAUCGGUCCGUGUCAAGUUAGAGCUGUAUUCUUCAGUGUCGAGCUACGGUCCAUCGGGUCGGCCCAUCUGGCCAUCUAUAUUGCUAUCCCUCGUCUAAUAUUGCUAUCCCUCGUCUAAUGAAAGCAGAUAUUCCCUCUCAAAAGAAAAAAAAACUUCCCUUCAGAUCCCAUCCACACCCUUUGGAGUCAGGACCCUUCCUCCUCACCCCUCCCUCUAUUAGAGCACCACCCGCCGCCGCCGCCAGCCUGACCGCCUCCGCUCCCCUCACUCGUCCCCAGCGAGACGCGCCCCCGAGCUCCUCCGCCGCAGCCGCGAUGAGGUCUUCUCUGCUGAAAUCCACGUCCGAGCUCCUCCGCCGCAGCCGCGGCUACUCCUCCUCGGCCAACCCGGAGCGGAAGGUGGCCAUCCUGGGCGCGGCGGGCGGCAUCGGGCAGCCGCUCUCGCUCCUCAUGAAGCUCAACCCGCUCGUCUCCUCCCUCUCCCUCUACGAUAUCGCGGGGACCGUCGGCGUCGCCGCCGACGUGUCCCACAUCAACACCCCCGCCCUGGUACGCCCCCGCUGCUGCCCUGGUUUAUCGACGCGCGCCACGGGCUCGGCUGGAUCCGAGCUGAUUGGUCUCGUAUUCCGCAGGUGAAGGGGUUCAUGGGGGAUGACCAGCUCGGGGAGGCGCUGGAGGGAUCCGACGUCGUUAUCAUCCCCGCCGGGGUGCCCAGGAAGCCCGGCAUGACCAGGGACGACCUCUUCAACAUCAACGCUGGCAUUGUUAAGGCGCUCAGCACCGCCAUCGCCAAGCACUGCCCCAACGUAAGCAUCCCGCCCUUCCUCCCACUGUAGAUCUGCAGUUUAUGUAUAUAGAUUUGGUUGCUAGAUUUGGCACUAUACUUUUGGCAAUCGGAAUAGCCGGGUCUUGGAUUUGGUUAGAUCUAGUGUUCAGUAGUGAUCUGGUGUAGUAAAGUGGUGCGCCUACCUAAAACUGACAGGCAACACUGUUUGCCCAAAACAUACAUAAUUACGACGUGCUAGUUGCUGGCCUCAGUGCCAUCUCCUAUUUCUAAGAGAGCACACUUGCUCCAGAUGUCCAGAAUUCCAGAUAUUGAUCUGCAAAUAUUCCCAUGCUUUGCAAUGAUCAACUUACUGUCUUAAAUAAGAUGUUAGAUGAUAUUAUGCAUGCUUGUUGUUUAUAUAUGUCUAAAAUGUAAGUCUUCCAAGUAAACAUUUCCAUCUUGUUUAAUUUGUGCUAUCACACUGAUCAUGGGCUUUGUUGAUUAUAUGCUUCUUCAGGCUCUUGUCAAUAUGAUCAGCAACCCUGUCAACUCCACUGUCCCGAUUGCAGCGGAAGUUUUCAAGAAGGCUGGUACAUAUGAUGAGAAGAAGCUGUUUGGUGUGACCACUCUUGAUGUUGUUCGUGCUAAAACCUUUUAUGCUGGAAAGGCGGGCGUGCCAGUUAAAGGUAAUAAGAUGUUUUACUUGACAAUUGCUAGAAUGCUAGAGACAUUGCUACAAUGGUUAUCAGGUUUAAUAUGUCAUCUUUCUCAAUGCGAGUUGUUGCUACUUGCUAUCACCUUUUGCAGAUGUGAAUGUUCCUGUUGUCGGGGGCCAUGCGGGUAUUACUAUUCUGCCACUCUUCUCGCAGGUAUUGCAUCCACAGUUGCUGUUUCCUUCAGUGAAACAAUGAACUCCAAAAUGUACCCAGUUAGAAUAGAUAUAAGUCAUGUAACUAGUGACAAAAGCGCCUUGUAGCAUAAGCAUACCCGCAAUGAUCAAGUAGCUUAAGUGUAAUAUUUUGACGAAACAUGCAAUUUGGUUAGCAAAGAGGAGAUAUUUUGUGGACAGGAGUCAACAGAGUAUGUUUGCCUAGACCCUAGACUAGUUCAAUAAUGUCAAUUUAUCAACUGUGCAAUAGGACUGUAAAGCUAUCUUUGGUUAGUGUUUGUCAUGCUAGGUGUAUUCUAUGUUGGGCCUCAUAGUCAUAUCUCUUAAGCUAAUAACUCAAAACAUAAACUUCAACUCAAAAUCAAAUUGUCUGUUUCUUACAGGCCACUCCUGCAAGCAAUUCAUUGUCCCAAGAAGACAUCGUGGCCCUCACCAAGAGGACACAGGAUGGUGGAACGGAGGUUGUUGAAGCAAAGGCUGGAAAGGGCUCUGCAACAUUGUCCAUGGCGUAAGUCUAUAAAACAUAUGGACCUUUGUGAGCAUGUCUUUUUUUUUUGGACUAUAGAACCUGUAACUAGCAUGUCCUGUCUGUUUAUGAUCUUUAUGGAAUUUUAUGAAUACUGUCUUCUAUCAUUGCAACUUGUCCAUCAGUAGAUACUUGAGUUUUCUUAGGAGAACUGCCUGUGACUGUGUGUGACAUAAGUUUGCUGCUGCACGAUCGCACAUACACUCUCCUGCACAAGCUUAUAACAUCAAAGCUAGUGCAUUUGGCCGAAAUUCGGUGCUAUUAAGUGCACAUUCUUAUUUCUAUAUCAUGGUUCUUCAUGUAUUCCUUUGAUUGUAUAUCGAUCGCAUCAAUUUAUUGUCAGAACUGGAUGUAUAUUAAUCUAUCUGAUUGUAAUGAACAUCAUUUGUAGGUUAUGCCAUUCAGUAUACAUGUAUAAUUGAACUAACCUCGUGAUUUUAAGAGACAUUCCUUGAACCGCACCUGCUUCUAUUUUGGUCUACAGUGUUUUUUGACAGUAUUCUUUCAGAAAAACUUGCACAUUCUACUUUGUUGACUCUCUGUUAUUGCAUUCAUGUGAAGUACUUCAACAUAUUGUUAUUAUUUGGAAUGUAGCUUAUUGCCAAAUGAAGGGCCCACUUGUCCUUGAUCAUCUGUAUAAGAUCAUAUAUCUUAUAUAUUUCCAAUGAAUUUGUUGCAAUACGAGCUAGAGCCUGUUUGGGUAGGUAGGAUUUUAUUAGUUAGCAGCCUUAUCCUAACACCCAUAUCUGAAUUUUUUCUGUGUGACUUUACCUUAGCUUCCCUUUAGUGUUCUGCCUGCAUGUGAUCUUCUGUUUUCUGGAUCAUCAUAUUGUAGUGGCUGUGCAAACAGACUCAGUUCCCAUCAACUUUUGUUAUACAUAACCAGUGGCAGAGCUAGCAGUCAAUCCAAGGUGGGGCCAAUUGCUACAAUAUGUUGUGCCUAGUGCCUAGUAUUAACACCUGCUCUAAAUAAGAAUUAUACAAACUAGGAAAUAGAUGGUUUAUUGGGGAAGCAGCUCUUGAGGUUUUGACUUUAGAAGCAAGAAAGAAAAUAAAGAAGCAAAUCUGAACUACAGUAGGCAGGCAGACAAAACUGAUGAUUAAUUAAUCAGUACUAAGCACUGGUGUGCAGUAGUACUAAUAUCCAAACAAAGCAAAUGAACUACUUGAUGAAAGUAAAAUGCAUGGGAGAAUAUACAUGCAUGCAGACAUGCAGAUGUGCAAGAGUAGUGUGUAUGCAGUAAAUAUAGGCUACCAUCCUUUAUGCAUGAGCGUCAUGCAGAUGCAUGCGUCAAGCACAAAUUGCUGGUCUGUAGAUCCUUUGAAAAUUUAUCCAGGAGGGGGGGGGGGGGGGGCAGAGCCCACUGUGCCCCCAAAUCGGCUCUGCCAGUGUACAUAACCAUAUUAGCUUUAUGCUGAUUUCAGGUCGAGCUCUGCUGCAAUUUGUUUAACUAAUAUUUCUUUUGGGUGCAGAUACGCUGGUGCUGUUUUUGCAGAUGCAUGCUUGAAGGGUCUGAAUGGAGUUCCUGACAUUGUAGAGUGCUCUUUUGUGCAAUCAACUGUGACGGAGUUGCCGUUCUUUGCCUCCAAGGUACUUAUCUAAUGUGUAAUAUGUAAAGUGCAGUUAUGUUCUAUCAUAUGCUCAAAGUAAAUUUCCUUGCGUGUCUUAUCGAAUGGGUCUUGCUUGUCUUAUCGGAUUGAAGGUACUGGAGUGUUGAACCUGUGGAACCAUUGCCAUUUUGGUGUUUUCUUCUUGAGCAUCAAUGUGAUAUGUUGGCGUGGCCAUAUGGUUCCUUGUAGCACGUUCUUGUUUCCAGGAACCAUUGAUGAUGUGGCUAGUGGCAUAUCACAUUCUUUUACAACAUCAUGGUUUUCCCUGUCUUGUCAGCUUGCAAGAGGGCAUUUUAAUAUUGGCUGAUCAAAAUGAUGUGUUCUGCAGUAAAUAUCACUAAUGCUGGUGCCUUAACUAUACUAGUUAGAUCUCACUCAAUUUUGUUGAUUUUCUCUCAAGAGACGGUCUUCAUAUGCUGCCUAGUGUAGUUUUAACACCAGUCCCUUUCAUGCCACAGGUACGCCUUGGCAAGAAUGGAGUGGAGGAAGUGUUUGGUCUGGGAGAGCUCUCUGACUUUGAGAAGAAGGGGCUGGAAAACCUCAAGGGCGAGCUCAAGGCUUCCAUUGAGAAGGGUAUCAAGUUCGCCCACGGGAACUAGGCAAUUUGCACGGACUCUAACAAUUCAUAUAUCAAGCUGAGG